UACGUAGGGUGCGAGCGUUGUCCGGAAUUACUGGGCGUAAAGAGCUCGUAGGUGGUUUGUCGCGUUGUUCGUGAAAACUCACAGCUUAACUGUGGGCGUGCGGGCGAUACGGGCAGACUGGAGUACUGCAGGGGAGACUGGAAUUCCUGGUGUAGCGGUGGAAUGCGCAGAUAUCAGGAGGAACACCGGUGGCGAAGGCGGGUCUCUGGGCGGUAACUGACGCUGAGGAGCGAAAGCGUGGGGAGCGAACAGG
rnacentral:rRNA from 1 species